UCCGUGUUUCGGAAGCCCAAUUGAUGAGCACAUCUGCGCCGAGCAGGUUUUAAUCAGUGUUAACGUUGUAAUCUGGCUGGUAUUUGCAUUUCACUGAUCUCUUCUGCAUAUUCAAAUACCUGUUGUCCCCCAAUUCGCCGUUUAACCCUGUUCUUCAAUGUUGUCGCUGAAAAUUGUACCGACUUUUCCAAACUUGUUUUGUUGUUCUUCGCAAUAAUGAGGCUUACACUGUCAAGCAGCUUUGGGUAUCCUGUGGACAUAAGAAAGAACUUUCUCACUGCUAAUUCUACUCAGUGAAUCUUGCUAACAAUUGUGGAUAUCAGAAAGGACAUUUACAUCCAGGGACACGAGACAAGGGAACGCGACUCAUACGCAAUGACCCAUGGAAAUAUAUUUGUGAAAUCCCGUGACACAAUUCAUCAAAAACUAAUCACGUGGUUCAUGAUUAAUCAUCAAAUAAAAAUUUGAUGAUUUUGAAAACCCACGUUUCCUGGAAGUGGAGGUCUGAUUUUUUUCGGGAUAAAUAUUUCAUGGAGAGUGGUAGCUCCAUCUGGAGGAGGCACAAUGGCAUUCCCUUAAAUCAGUACCAGAACAACUUUAUUUUCUCCUCUAAUAAUUAAUAAUGAUUAGCACCGAGUGUGCAAGGCAUGAUUUCUAAAUAUGCAGAUGACACAAGCAUGGAGGCAUGGUAAACCCAGAGGAGGAUAAUGAUAAUUUUCAAGGACGUGUUGAUAGGCUGCACAAACAUAUUUAUUUAUGCAGCGACUUAGUCCAGGUUUAGGGAGCAGGUGAGAAAUGUGAAGUGUAAUGUAUUGGCAGGAAGAAUGAGAUGAUAGAAUAUAAACAGAAGGCACCAUGAACCAUCCGACCAACAACUAGAGAGCAGCCCUGAGCUACUAUCUACCUCAUUGGAAAGCCUUGGACUAUCUUUGAUCAGACUUUACUGGACUUUAUUUUGCACUGAACAUUAUUCAUGUGUUCCUUUAUCAUGUAUCUGUACUCUGUAGAUGGCUCAAUUAUAAUCAUUGCACUCUUUCCACUGACUGGUUAGCAUGCCACAAAGCUUUUACUUGUACCUCGGUACACGUGAAAAAAACCAAAACUAACUAAUUUAAAAAAGGGAUAGACAGAUAUCUGAGGGUAUAUGCGCAUAGUUUAUUUUUGAAGUAAUAUGGUAGGUUGUGAAUAUAAUUUUUUUAAAGCAUACAAGAUCCUGGGCAUUAUAAAGCAUAGUGCACAAAAACAAGGAAUUCAUGAUAGACCUCAUAGUACAGUAGUAACCAAAGUACGGGGUGAUACACUUUAAAACAAAAUGUGAAAGCUUUUGAAGGAGGUGCAGCAGGGAUACACAAAAAUAAUUCCAGGCUUGAGAGAUAUUAGUUAUCUGGAUAGAAUGAAAAAGCUGGAAAUAUUCUCCCUGGAACAGAAGUUGCAAAUUGUCGAUAACAAUAUUUACCCAUGAUAACUGUUGUCUUGAUAACAGCAUUCUUCCUGUCAACACAUUAAUUGUGAGAAAAAAAAUAAUCUGAAAAUCUGAUAUAUAAAAAUAGAAUUGACUGGAAACACUACUUAGCAUUACGGAAAGGGGCAUAAAAUAAACAUUUCAGGUCGAAGACCCUUCAUCAGAAAAGUCAAAACGUUUUCAACCUAAAACGUCAACUCUGUUUUCUUCCUGCUGAUGUUGCCUGAAUUAUUGAUUGCUUCUACCAUUUUCUAUGAAUAUUUAAAUCCAUUAAUGCAAUUGACAGUAGAUUGGGAAUAAUUUCUCUCAUUGGCAAAGGAGUCGUAAACUAGGAGACAUGGAACAAUGGUGAUUUGCAUAAGAACUAAAAGUGUCAUUGGGAUGGGUUUUUUGCACAAUAUUUGUUGGAUUUUGGAA